GUGUCAAGUCAAUCUUCUGUACGUAUUUGCUUUCGAAGUUCAUACAUUUGUUUCAUUUAAUUAUUAUUUAUUUAUUUUUUGUCUUAUUGAAUCUUUUCUCAUUUGUAAGUUGAUUUUUAAAAAGGUAAAAAUGUUAUGUAAAUGUUAUGUUGACCACACAGUCGCAACAGCAAACACAUUGCUGACAAAUAUUUGAGAUUUGGUAAGUAGUAGAGAGAUGAGCCGUUGUACACACAACAGCAUCGGAGCAUCGUCACAGCGAAAUUACAUUGAAAGUGAAAUAUACUACUAUCGGUUUUCCAAAAAAAGUGUUCGGAACAACAAAUCGGACAUAGAUGAAGAAGAUGGUCACAUUUUUAGUUAUUACACUGGGAAUCGUUCACAAACCGACCAAGUGAUGUCAGAAUCCGGAAAAUAAGAAUACAAAGGAUUGUUUCUAGUUUGCCCCAACUACGAACCGGUCCGCAAUCGUUUUCUUCCCCGGCACAAAAUAAAUGAAUUUUCUCGUCGGCCGUCUUCGAGUAAUUUACGCUGUGUGAGUAAGUAUCGUUUGCAAUUACAUCAAUUAUUAUUUUGGUUUCAUUCAUUGUAGACUGAU